rnacentral:misc_RNA from 1 species
AAGUCGUAACAAGGUUUCCGUAGGUGAACCUGCGGAAGGAUCAUUUCUGUAAAACAAAAAAUUUACAAGCAACGAGAAAGGGGGGAGGGAAAGAGAGAGAGGGGGAAGAAUAAUCUUUUUCUUCAUUCAACUCUCUUUUUUAAUCCCUUUCUUAAUUUGCAGCAAACCAAACAACACCAAACUUUUUUUAACAAGGCUUUUUUUAUAAAAUGAAAAAGUGUCUGAUAAAAACUAUAAAAUUAUAAACAACUUUCAACAACGGAUCUCUAGGCUCUU